rnacentral:RNase_MRP_RNA from 2 species
AUCAGCCUGGUUGCCUAGGGGAAAGUCCCUGGACCUUGGGCAGAAAGUGCCGCGUGCUCACACACGUAGACCCUCCCCGCGCUUCACACUUAGCCUGCUAAGCAGCAAACCCGGUCUCUGGGACUGUGGAGCUGAGCCACGUGUUGCGGGACGUCAUCAGUCAGCUGUCAUAGUGAUGCAGGCAGUGCAUGCUUCGGUGCGCACCAACCACAUGGGGCUCAUUCUCAGCGCAGCUGA